AAAUAUACUUUUAAAAUAUACAAAUGUCUAGAAAUAUAGCUACAAGAAGGUCACCGCAGUAUCUGAUAAGAUAUUCUGGAGGUGUGGGAUCUUGGCAGCCUCAAUAGAUAACAUUAAGGAUUCCUUUUAUUUUUAAUGUAAAACUUGAAUCCAAAUUGAAAGGAAAAAACACCUGAUUAAACUUGUCUGUUGUACUCUGUAUCUUUAAAAAUACUCAUUAAUACAGUCAUUUAUUCUCAUUUAUUUACUCUAUUCAUGCUUUUAAGCAUCCAGCUGUUCUUGAAAUAUAUAAUACAUACACCUAUGUGUACACACACAGACACACAGACACAUGCACACGCACAUGCACGCACAGGCACACAUAUCAAAUACAGACACAACCCAGGAGCCUCAUUAACAGGAGAAGAAGCAAAUUGGGGGCUGUAUUCUUGUUGUGACUUUGAGGUUUUUUUUUUUUUCUUUAACUUUUUCUUUGAUUUAAAAAAAGCCACACUUUUAGAGUCAAAGUUUUCCCUCACAGAAGAUGGAACUGAAUGGAAGGAACAAGGGGGAAGGCUUACAAGGAAUAAUUUUCAAAGGAACUGGAUAUGUUCUUUCAGUUAGAAGGUGGUGAUUACUUUCUGCGAUUCAGAGAAGUGUGAGCCAACCUAAUUAAACACCUUUUUGCUGAAAAGCAGCUUGAUAAAUCGAGAUUGCCUUUGGAAGCUCUCAAAGCUUUUAUCAGUAAGCUAUUACUAUGAAAGUCUUUUAAAGUAAUAACUUAUGAAAUAUUACUUUCCAGUCCUGAUGGAAAUUAUUACUUUGUUUAAAUAAAAAUACAAGUGAGGAUGCUUAUGUUGGACAGAUGCAAAACUAUAUAUUUAAGUGUGUUGAAUAUAGAGUCAUCGACUAUAAAAUAAGCACAUGAUUUCUAAUAACCGUUAAGGAAAUGAUUAUAUGCAAGGGGAUUAUAUAGAUUUGGGGAUGUGGAAAAAAUGCAACUCUUUACCCUAUAGCCUUGCCUUUUCUCUUCUCUUCUCUUCUCUUCUCUUCUCUUCUCUUCUCUUCUCUUCUCUUCUUUUCUCUUUUCUUUUUUCUCUGUUUUUUGAGUUAUAGUAAGCCUUUAUUUUCUUUAUGAUUUUAGUUAUUAUUCAUCCAAUGUCAUUUCGACCAAUAAAUACCCUGGAGUGUAUUUUGUGUGGUUUGUGCCAUGAUUCAACUGUAUGUUUUGUUUUAUAUGAAAAAAUAUUGUGUGUCUCCCUUCUUCCGUCCCAAUUCUUACUUAGACAGGUGCUUUAUAAUCUAGUUUGAGGUCUGUAGACAGAUGAGACCUAAUGAUCUGCAAAAGCUUUGCCAAUCUCUAAAUACAAGUUUCUGUGAAUAGAUUUCCCCACACACAAUGCCAGGAGAGGAUGGUGAUAGAUUUAAAGGUAUUACAAAUAUUCUUUAUUUCAUUGAAAAUGGCCCAAAGCACUAUAAAAGGAUAUUUGAUAUGACAAUAUUACAGCUGAAGAGGAUAUGAGAUCACACUUGGGUCAAGGAGUAGGGUGCUGUAAACAGAUCCACACAGUGCUGGUCUGAUUUGAUUUAACUUUAUGGGCAUUGAGUGUACUGUGGUGUAAUAUUACAAAUAAGAUUUGAGGAACUUAAUGAGGCUGAGUCCUCAUUAGAUGGGCCUGCUUUUCUGCAUGUUUGAUUGAAGGCGAAGGACUAGUAUUGUCUUUUAGUAAUUAAUUUCCUUUGUGCCACAGAAUAGAAUUUUUUCCAGAACAAUUUAUUCAUAGCUAAUACAGUUAUGGAUAUGAAGCAAUUUAAGUGUUGGCUUAUAUUCAAGAUAAGGAGAAAUUAAUUGAUAAGCUAGAUAAUUUUCAUGCAUAGAGCAUGAACAUGUGCUCUUGCCUUGGAGAUAAUUUUAUGUGGAGCGAAAUACACUGACAUUUAAUUACUUAGAUUGUUUACUUUCAAGUUUUUUCUUUGAUUUACAAAACUUAUCACUAAAUAUUCCAAAAGCAUCAGUUUUUCUUAGCUGUAAACUACACCUUUAGAUCAUGAACUAUAUAAUGAGGAAUUAUUUCAAUAGGACGAGCAUAGCUGAUCUUCUGAAAUGAUAAAUUCACUCUAAAUUUUUGUCUUAAAACAUGUCUUUAAUAAAGUUUAUGCAUCCCAUCAUCCUACAUUUUUAUUGCAGUCCUAUAAUUAUGCCUUUUAUCAAGUUGGCAACCUAAUUUUCACUGUGAUGAGUUUAGGUGAGAAUUUUGUGAAGUUAUCUGCUUUCAUGUGAUUAGUGCUGUAUUGGUUACUUUUUUGUUAUUGUGAAGAGACACCUUGAUCAAGGCGAGUUAUUU
rnacentral:lncRNA from 1 species